rnacentral:lncRNA from 1 species
UUGAGACAGAAACAAAAUCUUUGUUUUUUAGACUUUGACCAAAUAUUUGGGAAUGAGCACCAUGUAGAUGUGAUUUGUUUCUCCUUUUUGCCCUUUGAAGCAUGUGAUCUUGUGACCUACUCCCUGUUCUUGCACCCCCUCCCCUUUAGAAAUCCUUAAUAAAACUUGCUGGUUUUGCAGCUCAGGUGGGUAUCACGGUCCUCCUCAUAUGUGAUGUCACCCCUGGAGGCCCAGCUGUAAAAUUCCUCUCUUUGUACUGUU